CCUACGGGUGGCAGCAGUGGGGAAUAUUGCACAAUGGGGGAAACCCUGAUGCAGCGACGCCGCGUGGAGGAAGAAGGUCUUCGGAUUGUAAACUCCUGUUGUUGAGGAAGAUAAUGGCGGUACUCAACAAGGAAGUGACGGCUAACUACGUGCCAGCAGCCGCGGUAAAACGUAGGUCACAAGCGUUGUCCGGAAUUACUGGGUGUAAAGGGAGCGCAGGCGGGAAGACAAGUUGGAAGUGAAAUCCAUGGGCUCAACCCAUGAACUGCUUUCAAAACUGGUUUUCUUGAGUAGUGCAGAGGUAGGCGGAAGUCCCGGUGUAGCGGUGGAAUGCGUAGAUAUCUGGAGGAACACCAGUGGCGAAGGCGGCCUACUGGGCACCAACUGACGCUGAGGCUCGAAAGUGUGGGUAGCAAACAGGAUUAGAUACCCAGUAGUC
rnacentral:rRNA from 1 species